ensembl:lncRNA
GGAAAUGCUGAUUGGGAAAUGAAUGAUUCACCUGCUAAAGCCAAGCAGCCAGCUGUGCUGUCUAGUGGCAUCUCUCCUCUGCCAAUACUCUCAAAAUGAGCAUAAAACUAAAUGGGAGGAUCUCUGGUCUUGCUGGCAUCAUAGUGAGGAGAAUCUUCAACCACCUUUGAAAAUCCAGAAUGUUCAACUAAUGAUUACAGCGUAGGGUCAGGAAUUACUGACUCACUACUGCGAAGAGAAGAGAAGAGAAGAGAAGAGAAGAGAAGAGAAGAGAAGAGAAGAGAAGAGAAGAGAAGAGAAGAGAAGAGAAGAGAAGAGAAGAGAAGAGAAGAGAAGAGAAGAGAAGAGAAGAGAAGAGAAGAGAAGAACUGCAGCAAGGACUAGAGCUUCUGUGUGAAAGCAACUUUAGUAACAAGAAUGUUCAAAACUAGAUUAUUCCCCUGCUUAAUCAUUAACCUUUGUUUUCCUCUGGGGACCUGAAGAGUAUUUUUUAAAAAGAGCUCAGAGAAUUAGAGGGGAUUUAUUCACAGUUUAAGAUAAAAUAGUUGACUCAAGCUCAGGCAUAUGAGGAGAUGUGAAAACUUCUGAUGUCCAGUUCUGUCAACAAUACUGGAUAAAAUGGUGAGAAGGAACACCCCAUGGAAGACAUGCAGUGACAGCAGACAAAAUCUCUGGAUACUACAUCACAGCAAUGGCCCCUCCAGAAGACAAAGAGCUAGCAUGAAGUUCACAGGACUUGGGGCUAUAGCCUGCCAUCACUAUAGAAGAAAGAGUUUUUGCAUGAAACACAAUAUAUUUCAAUCACAAGGAAUAGUAUUCAAGGCAUGCAACCACAGUAUAUGAGCUUCUUCACUUGAAAAAAAGGAGAAAAAAUCUAGUAUCAAGUUGCAGUUGCUAAAUGAAGAAGAAAAAUCUCUUUUGGGAUACUAGUUGCUGCCCAUAUAAGAUACAAGUCUAAAGGAUAACAUCCUACCCAGUGUCAGGUUACAAAAUUGCAAUAGCAAGGCCAGAUGUGAAAAUGGCAUCCUUAUUAACAAAAGGUUAAUAGGGUGAGGCACCUGAAGACUGCUUGCAAAAUGUCAUGUUCUGCAAGACUUAUCUUCCUGAGAAGACACUUCCUGCUCUUGGGAGACCUGAUUUUCAGAGCUGUGGCCACCAACAUGCCCAUCACUUUAAAGAAGACUUAGUCCCCAAAGUUAAGUUACCAGCACUAGACCUCAUGCUCCAGUUCUUAACUUGUCUGAUCUUAAGUCUUAGGCACUGAGGAGAAAAUAUUAAUAUAGUAAAUGGAAAUUAUCUGUAGGAUGACAUUUUUGUAAUGAAGUACAUCACAUGUAAGAUGCAUGAAGUACAACAGCACUUUCUUAUAUUCAUAAAUUAAAAUACAUCACCUACAUGCAGAUUUGCUCAUUACUGUAUCAUGUGUAAUCCCACUUGACCCAGCUCCCUUUCAAAACACAGUAAAUUUCCAC